AAGGCUGAGGUGUGAUGACGAGGCACUACGGUGCUGAAGUAACAAAUGCCCUGCUUCCAGGAAAAGCCUCUAAGCAUCAGGUAACAUCAAAUCGUACCCCAAACCGACACAGGUGGUCAGGUAGAGAAUACCAAGGCGCUUGAGAGAACUCGGGUGAAGGAACUAGGCAAAAUGGUGCCGUAACUUCGGGAGAAGGCACGCUGGUGUGUAGGUGAAGUCCCUGCGGAUGGAGCUGAGACCAGUCGAAGAUACCAGCUGGCUGCAACUGUUUAUUAAAAACACAGCACUGUGCAAACACGAAAGUGGACGUAUACGGUGUGACGCCUGCCC
rnacentral:rRNA from 1 species